rnacentral:rRNA from 1 species
GUUUACCGUGAAAAAAUUAGAGUGUUCAAAGCAGGCAGAUCCAAUUUUCUGCCACCGAAUACAUUAGCAUGGGAUAAUGGAAUAGGACCCUGUCCUCCUAUUUUCAGUUGGUUUUGGCAGCGCGAGGACUAGGGUAAUGAUUAAUAGGGAUAGUUGGGGGCAUUAAUAUUUAAUUGUCAGAGGUGAAAUUCUUGGAUUUAUGAAAGAUUAACUUCUGCGAAAGCAUCUGCCAAGGAUGUUUUCAUUAAUCAAGAACGAAAGUUAGGGGAUCGAAGACGAUCAGAUACCGUCGUAGUCUUAACCAUAAACGAUGCCGACCAGCGAUUAGGAGACGUUGAAUACAAAACACCACCAUCGGAAACGGUCGUGCCUGGCUCGUCGUCUCACGACGNACGGGCGGGGCGUUAGCCCGAUGCCCGUG